CCUACGGGUGACUGCAGUCGAGAAUCAUUCACAAUGGGGGAAACCCUGAUGGUGCGACGCCGCGUGGGGGAAUGAAGGUCUUCGGAUUGUAAACCCCUGUCAUGUGGGAGCAAAUUAAAAAGAUAGUACCACAAGAGGAAGAGACGGCUAACUCUGUGCCAGCAGCCGCGGUAAUACAGAGGUCUCAAGCGUUGUUCGGAAUCACUGGGCGUAAGGCGUGCGUAGGCUGUUUCGUAAGUCGUGUGUGAAAGGCGCGGGCUCAACCCGCGGACGGCACAUGAUAAUGCGAGACUAGAGUAAUGGAGGGGGAACCGGAAUUCUCGGUGUAGCAGUGAAAUGCGUAGAUAUCGAGAGGAACACUCGUGGCGAAGGCGGGUUCCUGGACAUUAACUGACGCUGAGGCACGAAGGCCAGGGGAGCGAAAGGGAUUAGAUACCCCUGUAGUC
rnacentral:rRNA from 1 species